ensembl:misc_RNA Y_RNA Y RNA
GGCUGGUCCGAGUGCAGUGGUGUUUACAACUAAUUGAUCACAACCAGUUACAGAUUUCUUUGUUCCUUCUCCGCUCCCACUGCUUCACUUGACUAGCCUUAC